rnacentral:rRNA from 1 species
UACGUAGGUCUCAAGCGUUGUUCGGAUUCAUUGGGCGUAAAGGGUGCGUAGGCGGCGCGGUAAGUCGGGUGUGAAAUCUCGGAGCUUAACUCCGAAACUGCAUUCGAUACUGCCGUGCUUGAGGACUGGAGAGGAGACUGGAAUUUACGGUGUAGCGGUGAAAUGCGUAGAUAUCGUAAGGAAGACCAGUGGCGAAGGCGGGUCUCUGGACAGUUCCUGACGCUGAGGCACGAAGGUCAGGGGAGCAAACGGG